UCUCUGUUAGUAUAUCGGUUAGUACACGCGCUUGUCAUUCAACAUGAUCGCGCGAAAGCGGGGUUCGACUCCCCGACAGAGAG